AUGAUCCAGAGGUCUACGGAGAAUAAUCGUGUUUUUGUUGGAAUGGUUCGUUCAAAAUGUCGGAGUGACGACACCAUCACAAGACGAGAAGGAAUGCUCAGCAGCAGCUCCAGAAGGCAGAGUGGCGAUACGCCUUUGAAGUCAGGUUUCACAAGAGGCAAACUGAAGCGACUCUUCCCUAAACCCCUCUGCGCACGGCCAAAAGGCCAUGUUCUGUCACCCAUAAAUGAGUCAACAUGCACUGAUCACAGAUCUGUCUCGUCAACUGCUCCCUGGAUGAACAGAAUACUGGAAUCAAAUGGAACUGUGAGUGAAAAGUCUUUAAACCAGUUUGUAUCUCCUCUGAUUCACUCGACUAACUUAUCACUCUCCAUUUUCUCUUUUCAGGAGAGCACAAUACAUUAUAGCACAGAAGACGGUUCAAAUUCACAAGUGGGUGUUUCCUCCCUCCUGUCGGAUUGUGAUGAGACUGACUCUGCUGACAUCUCCAGCGAUACUAGCUCCAGCAGUCUGCCUUCACCUGAGCAGUUCCGCAGAGAGAAAGUCUAUGAAGAGAUAGUGGCCUUCCCCAGUGAGGAGAUGUUGGACCUGAAUGUAAAGAACUCCACUCUCCUAGAUGUCAGCCAUGCUGAGGACAUCCACAUGCAGCAGCCUCCUAACCUGUCCUCCAUCAUUGACAUUUCCCAAAUGAAUGAUGAAAAAGAUCAGGAAAAAAGACGUUUAGCGCUACCCAUUAGAAGUACAUAUUCAGACAAGCUGUUCAAUGCCUAUGUGUCAGUUGAAAGCACACCCCUAGCUGGAGGAGUAACUGUGCCCUCAGUCCCCAAGAAAACACAAAGGCCAGUGACGAUUAGACCCAGGAAGAUCAAAUGCAGGAAGAGAGUCAAAUUUAGUGACUCUGUUACCACUGAGAAGAUGGUAGUGAACAAUGUGGAGCCUGUCAGUGACCACACGGUCAGUGAGAGGACCAGAGACACAGUAGACAACAGAGAGACUGCUGCCCCUGAAGUAGUCCCUCAAGUCCUGAAAAGACCCACACAUCACUCACCAGAGCAAGCCAAGUUCUUUGACUUUGCAGACGAGAAAGAAAGAAACACCUUCUUUCAAAAGUUGAGGAAGAGGUACUCCUCCGUGAGGAGUAUAUUCGCCAAUGUUGGUGGGCGUUCGACAGAUGCAUUUGAAGAUGAGGGUAAUGUUUGUUCAAAGAUAUAA
rnacentral:lncRNA from 8 species